rnacentral:rRNA from 1 species
AUUGAACGCUGGCGGCAGGCCUAACACAUGCAAGUCGAACGAGUCGCGGGCGGGUGUGUAAUGUCUGGGAAACUGCCUGAUGGAGGGGGAUAACUACUGUACACUGUAUCUAACACCGCAAUCUCUGGGUUGCGCCCAGAUGGGAUUAGCUAGUAGGUGGGGAAAAGGCUCACAUAGGCGACGAUCCAUAGCUGGUCUGAGAGGAUGACCAGCCACACUGGGACUGAGACACGGUCCAGACUCCUACGGGAGGCAGCAGUGGGGAAUAUUGCACAAUGGGCGCAAGCCUGAUGCAGCCAUGCCGCGUGUAUGAAGAAGGCCUUCGGGUUGUAAAGUACUUUCAGCGGGGAGGCGUUACCCACAGAAGAAGCACCGGCUAACUCCGUGCCAGCAGCCGCGGUAAUUC